UAGGAGAAUUUUUUUUAUAAAUAAAUUUUAUAUUUCGAGAAAAUAAUUGUAAUAGGCCCAAUUUUCUCGGGGCCCAUUCAUAAUAAGCAGAAGAAAAAAACCAAAAAUAAUUAAAUGCCCACAGUCUAAAUACAUGGGCCCAACGUGGCCCAAACCGUUUUAACCUAAACUAUCCAAAUUUAACCUAACCCCAAGCCCAAUCACCAAACCCAAUUACAAUAACCGCAUAACCCACUAUCUAAAAAGCCCAAUCAGCCCAAAGCUAAGAAAACAAGAAACCCUAGGGUUUCUACAGCAUCCAGCGCCGCAACAAUCAUGGCCCCCUCCCGCGCGUGCUACGCCUCCGCGCGUACGUGCUUCUUCUCCUCCAGGUCGUACCUGCACACAAGCAAACAAGAAAAGACGAAUAGAAAACAGUAACAAACAAAAAAGGAGCAAAAACGUAUUUCUUUGUAAUGGUUUUUCAUUUUCCUGGCUAUAUAAAAGCCAAAAAUGCAUUGUAAAUUUUUACAAAAACACGCAAGAUCAAUAUGCAAAAAAAAAACAGAAAUAAAAUACAAGUUUUGCUCGAAGGUAGUCUCUGAUUUAUUUUAAUAGUUUCUUUUUUUUUCUCCUCUUUUCUUUUUGAUUCAAAAGAAGAAGCGAAAUAAAGGGGGGAAAGUUUAAAAAGCUUACCUUUUUGCCAUCGCGAGACCGAGGUUUGCCGAUUCCCAUGAAAAUCGGGUCUUUUUUGCCUUAGAAUCAAAAAACGAGGGAAAACAAAAAUUUUCUGGGUUUCCGACCACUGCGUACGGCGGCGCCGUCGCUGGCGACCGACGGCCGACGCGGUGGUGUGGUGAGCUGGUCGGCUGGAUUUUGGGUUUUGAAGGAGAAUGGGAGAGAGGUUUCUCCUAUUUUUUU
rnacentral:lncRNA from 1 species